UCAUAUGCUUAAAUGUCACACAUGUGACAUGCUUGACUUGUGUAGAACCAAAGCACUUAUUCAAAUAAAAUAAUAUUUUUAAAAUAUUGUUAUCCAUAUGGGACACAUGCCUUGUGAACAUUUCAUGUGGAAGUGCCCCAUUGAUGUGACUCGUGUGAAAUGUGUAAGGUGCAUGUAAAUGGUGUGGGUUGAGUAAAUUCUAUUGGUGGUGUCACAACCCAGCCUUAUGAUUGAUACCUUUUACCAAAAUAUCCUUACCCUUGACCAUUUUCUGCACAUAGAUUUAUUAAAAACUCAAGGGGUCUUUAUGUAAAGCCUUUUUGGAUUUGAUUGGAAUUAAUAUAUGGGGACAAGGACAAAAGGGUAAUGUGGCUUUGAUUUAAGGUUUAUGAGGUGAUAAGGUGCUUAAAUCUCAUCUAUUUUUUAUUAGUUGGAUAGGGAUGAGUGGUUAGGAUAAUUAGCCUCUUAUAUACUAUUGAUGAAGUGCAUCAAGGGUCAUGAUCAAUUCAUAACUUAUACACUUUAUAUAAAUACACUUAGAACCCAAAUUCAAACCCAAACAAAACACUUUUCAUGAAUCAAAGAGAUAAAAAAGAGAUCAAAACUAGGCCUCCACAUUGAGCCCCUUUGGGUUCAUGUUCUUGGUUAGAAGAUGAUCUUUUAUGGAGUCCCUUCCUUCUACAAGGUCAAGUCCAUCAUACGGCACCAUCAAGGUAUCAUGUAUUUGUGAGUUUUUCCUUCAUUGCUUCACUUUCUCAUGAUCUAAGCUUGCUGUAAAUUCAUGUUUACAGAAGUUUAGCUUCCCCUUUCCAUUGCUUUAGAAUGAUCUUUAAGUUAGACACAUAAGGUGUUUCUCUUAACUUUGAUCAUGAGUUCAAUACCUUGAUUGCUUUAUAAUUCAUAUGUAGUUUCUCAUAGAUCCUUUCCAUCCAAAUUUUCUUGAGUAUAUAUUUAUUAAUAUUCAAGUUCAGAUAAUUAUUAUCCAUUUUAAAAGUCCAUUUGUUGAGUUAGAGUUCGUCUUUUUACAUUGAGAAAAAGUUUGGUGGACCGGUGGACUAUAUGGAGUAGUUUGUUCAUAUUUGGCUCGUUUUGAGUACAAUAUCUCUUAUUCUCUUUUGCAAACCGAUAUCCAUCAUUUUAAUCUCUCAUUGGGCCUUAAUAGUUAUUUUAAAAAUGUUUCAAGCUUCCCAUUUGAAUUGAUAAUCUUGAGAUUAUAAAACCACUCUUGCACUCAUCUUUGGGACAAAAUUAAUUCUUCAAAAGCCUCGAUUGUGGGCCGGGCACAAGGGGUUCGCACCAUGGCUUCCCCCAUAAUCAUUUGCAUGUUAAUUUGAUAUAUUUAAUGUUAUUAAGUGAUUAAUGAAUGAUAGAUCUGAGUAUGUUAUGUGAAUAUUGAGAUUAUUCUUAAAAUCUUGUGAUAUGAGCUAUAAUGUUAUACUCUAUUGUUCAUGCAAAUGGAAAUCCCAUUUGAUUGUUAUGAGUAACUAUAGGAUGUGUAUAAGACAAUGUGACAUAUGAUGAGAAUGAAUAUUGAAGAAGAGAUGCUUAUGUAAUUUUUAUAGAUUGAUGAAUUUGAGCAUAAGUUUGUAAUAUGUUGUAGAGAUGUACAUUUGAGUAUUUGGACAUUGUAUUGAGCUUAAUUGUAUUUUGAGAAAGGGAUAUCUAAG
rnacentral:lncRNA from 1 species